AGUCUAGAGCCGGAACAGCAGCAGCCAGAGGCAUCUGCCGCUAAAGAGAGCCCGCUGUCGAUGGCAGAGGAGGCAGCGCCGUGAUAUGUCAGAGAAGGGGUCUUUGAAGAUGCACCUGCUUCUUGACCAGCAGUCCUGCAUGAGAGCGAUGUGAAUGGGGAGAUGGACAGCACACUGAACACGAGACGUGACUGACUGUCACCUGUAUCGUCAUUUUUGUCUUCACUGCCAAAAGACCCCAUGUGGUCUAGUCAGCCUAUACUGAACCAGCUCUUUCCUACAGAUAUCCUGUGGCACACACCUCGUGGAACACUGACCUACAAUGAAUUUUCCAUCGUAAAAAGAAAAAAAAAACGAUAGCAUUUUCCUGGUCUUCAGGUGCAGGUCACGCUUCUGUGGAGGACAGUACCUUUUCGAAGCGUCCAACUUCUCCUCUUUUUAAUGUCUUUGUCUUUUUCUGAGGAGGCUCAGCAGUGAAUGUUGACCACACACAC